GGGGAAUCUUCCGCAAUGGACGAAAGUCUGACGGAGCAACGCCGCGUGAGUGAUGACGGCCUUCGGGUUGUAAAGCUCUGUUAAUCGGGACGAAUGGUUCUUGUGCGAAUAGUGCGAGGAUUUGACGGUACCGGAAUAGAAAGCCACGGCUAACUACGUGCCAGCAGCCGCGGUAAUACGUAGGUGGCAAGCGUUGUCCGGAAUUAUUGGGCGUAAAGGGCGCGCAGGCGGCUUCUUAAGUCUGUCUUAAAAGUGCGGGGCUUAACCCCGUGAUGGGAUGGAAACUGGGAAGCUCAGAGUAUCGGAGAGGAAAGCGGAAUUCCUAGUGUAGCGGUGAAAUGCGUAGAUAUUAGGAGGAACACCAGUGGCGAAAGCGGCUUUCUGGACGAAAACUGACGCUGAGGCGCGAAAGCCAGGGGAGCGAACGGGAUUAGAUACCCCGGUAGUCCUGGCCGUAAACGAUGGGUACUAGGUGUAGGAGGUAUCGACCCCUUCUGUGCCGGAGUUAACGCAAUAAGUACCCCGCCUGGGGAGUACGGCCGCAAGGUUG
rnacentral:rRNA from 1 species